rnacentral:rRNA from 1 species
AGUGGCGGAAGGGUCAGUAAUACGAUCGAACGUGCCCGAGGUGGGGGAUAGCGGCGGGAAACUGCCGGUAAUACCCCAUGAUCUCCCCGGAGCAAAGGCUUGCCGCCUUGGGAUCGGCGAUCGUCCUAUCAGCUAGUUGGCGGGGUAAAGGCCCACCAAGGCGACGACGGGUAGCGGGUGUGAGAGCAUGGCCCGCGACAUCGGGACUGAGACACUGCCCGGACUCCUACGGGAGGCUGCAGCGACGAAUCUUCCGCAAUGGGCGAAAGCCUGACGGAGCAAUGCCGCGUGCGGGAUGAAGCGGCUACGCCGUGUAAACCGCUGUUAGGGAAGAGAACCAACGAUCAUUGAUCAUUCCCAGAGGAAGAGGCGACUAACUCUGUGCCAGCAGUCGCGGUAAUACAGAGGCCUCGAGCGUUAGUCGGAAUUACUGGGCUUAAAGGGUGCGUAGGCGGGUCGGUAAGUGCUGUGUGAAAGCCCUCGGCUCAACCGAGGAACUGCACGGCAUACUGCCGACCUUGAGGCAGGUAGGGGCGGGCGGAACAGUAGGUGGAGCGGUGAAAUGCGUAGAGAUCUACUGGAACGCCGAUGGUGAAGACGGCCCGCUGGACCUGUCCUGACGCUGAGGCACGAAAGCGUGGGGAGCAAACAGGAUUAGAUACCCUGGUAGUCCACGCCGUAAACAAUGCGCACUGGACCGGGGCG